UGUCUUUUCCAAUGGAAUCUACAGGGCAAACGCAAAGGGAGGAGAAGAUGAAGAAGAAAAAGAAGAGGAAGAAAUUGAGCGAAACUCUUGCUUCUCCAGGGUACUCUAUGUUCUUUUUGAUGUAUGGAGCAGCACUGGCCCACUCCAAAGGCAUCUGGCAAACUCCCUGCUAGCCACCGAACACGCUCUACAAGCACGAUGGAAGGGGAUACUCUUUCCGAAACACACCACCAACAUCACACAGAACUCGCCAAAUUCCGGAAAACAUCUGACAAACCCUCAAGUUUGGGAUGGUUCAAUUCGUACCCAAGAUUUUAAAUGACUCAUCCCUUAGUGUUGGGGGGAGGGAGAUCGGCACCCUUGGCUUUGGCUCCAAACUAACCACAAGUUGAGUUACCUUGCCAAGGGAAUUAAUGAGAGAGAGUACAAACAGACGAACAUAGAAUCGGUGCAUCAAAUACGUCUUCAAUCAUCGUGACGAGAUUUGUCUCAAGCAUUGUGAAAUGGACAGAGUGGAGGAGGACACGCGUUUUAGAUGUGUCUGUCUUCGUUCCUUUUUGCCCUCCUUCUUUCAAUCCUCACCCUUCUGUGUUCCAAACCGAAAAAUGUUCGAAGUGAAUCCUUGACAAGAGAAGCACUUAAAAAACUUUGUCAGCCAUCUCGUGAUGAAAU